rnacentral:SRP_RNA from 1 species
UGUCGGGUCUUACGCAAUGGAAUUUUGUGAACCCCGUCAGGUCCGGGAGGAAGCAGCGGUAAGCGAACCCUUUCGUGUGCCGUAAGUCCCCCGGCAGUA